rnacentral:rRNA from 1 species
CACGUAGGGGGCAAGCGUUGUCCGGAUUUAUUGGGCGUAAAGAGCUCGUAGGUGGUUCGGUAAGUCGGGUGUUAAACCCCCAGGCUCAACCUGGGGACGCCACUCGAUACUGCUGUGACUAGAGUCCGGUAGGGGAGCGUGGAAUUCCUGGUGUAGCGGUGAAAUGCGCAGAUAUCAGGAGGAACACCAAUUGCGAAGGCAGCUCGCUGGGACGUAACUGACGCUGAGACGCGAAAGCGUGGGGAGCAAACAGG